CUCUCACCCACCCCAAGAGCCUACUCCAUGAAGGGAUGGGUCUAGAUAUGCCUUGGGUCUAGAUUUUUCCACAUUUUGAAGUAAUGACAGAAAAUAACAUGCCGAACCACAGAGACCUGGCUUUUUAACAAGGACACUGUGGCCAAAGACAUGAUGAUGGUGGAAAACUAGAGCCUGCCAGCAGUGGGCAGGCUCCUCCGGCUUGGAUCCGAGCCUGUUGUUUAGAAGAAAAACGGUGUCUUCAAGUAAA
rnacentral:lncRNA from 1 species